CAGAAGUGUCAUUUCAAUUCAGACAGGCUGGGCCAGUCUGCCUCCAUUCCCUGGGAGAUGAGUGCUUCCCAGUGCUGGCUAUCCUCAUCUCUCACAAAGGAUUCUUCAUUAGUAUUCAGACCAUACCAACAGUUUUCACGAUCCAUAUGAACUAAAAACACUGAUCUUGUGCAGAAGAAUUCUGGAGCUGAUUACAGAUUCUAAUGAUUUAUCCCAAGAAAGGCCAAUGUUUGUAUUUUCAAGGGCAGCUGAUUUUCAGGGCAUUAGUUCAAGGGUCAAGACCAUCUGAGUCUCUCAAAGAUUGUAGAUGUUUCUACAACAGAAAAAGUUUCAGAGAGGGAGCACAUGGGGCAGUGUGAGGUCAUCAACUGAAGGGAGUGGGAACUGAAAA